CCAGAGGCGGCAAGCGUUGUUCGUCCUUCUUGGGCUUCCCUCUCCCUUCUUCUUCCUUUCCCUUCCUUUUUUCCCUCCUUCCGCUUCACGGAAGAACUGCAUCUGAUACUACAGGGCUUGAGUACGGGAGGGGAGAGUGGAACUUCUGGUGGAGCGGUGAAAUGCGUAGAUAUCAGAAGGAACGCCGGCGGCGAAAGCGACUCUCUGGUCCGAAACUGACGCUGAGUGUGCGAAAGCUAGGGGAGCAAACGG
rnacentral:rRNA from 1 species